GACGAACGCUGGCGGCGUGCUUAACACAUGCAAGUCGAACGACGUGUCGAACGGGUGUGUAAUACGUGGGUAACCUUCCCUCAUUUUUGGGAUAAGCCUUUGAAACGGGUUCUAAUACCGAAUAAAGGGGGUUGGGCUCUCGGCUUAUCAGCUUGUUGGUGGGGUGAGGGCCUACCAAGGCGGUGACGGGUAGCCGGCCUGAGAAGGUGAACGGCAACAUAGGGACGGAGAUACGGCCCAGACUACUAAGGGGGGCAGCAGUGGGGGAUAUUGCACAAUGGGCGAAAGCCUGAUGCAGCGACGCCGCGUGGGGGAUGAGGGCUGUCGGGUUGUAAACCUCUUGCGCUAUCGAGCGGGUAGGUGGAGAAGAAGCGCCGGCUAACUACGUGCCAGCAGCCGCGGUAAUUC
rnacentral:rRNA from 1 species